AUUGAACGCUGGCGGCAUGCUUUACACAUGCAAGUUGGACGAGUGGCGAACGGGUGAGUAACGCAUCGGAACGUACCGAGUAAUGGGGGAUAACUGUCCGAAAGGACAGCUAAUACCGCCUAUUAUUCGAGCGGCCGAUGUCUGAUUAGCUGGGUGGCGGGGUAAAGGCCCACCCAGGCGACGAUCAGUAGCGGGUCGGAGAGGAUGAUCCGCCAAACUGGGACGGAGACACGGCCCAGACUCCGACGGGAGGCAGCAGUGGGGAAUUUUGGACAAUGGGCGCAAGCCUGAUGCAGCCAUGCCGCGUGUGUGAAGAAGGCCUUCGGGUUGUAAAGCACUUUCAGCGGGGAGGCGUUACCCGCAGAAGAAGCACCGGCUAACUCCGUGCCAGCAGCCGCGGUAAUUC
rnacentral:rRNA from 1 species